UACGAAGGGGGCUAGCGUUGCUCGGAAUCACUGGGCGUAAAGCGCACGUAGGCGGAUUGCUAAGUCAGGGGUGAAAUCCUGGAGCUCAACUCCAGAACUGCCUUUGAUACUGGCGACCUUGAGUCCGGGAGAGGUGAGUGGAACUGCGAGUGUAGCGGUGAAAUGCGUAGAGAUCUGGAGGAACACCGAUGGCGAAGGCAGCCUUCUGGGCCAACACUGACGCUCAUGCACGAAAGCGUGGGGAGCAAACAGG
rnacentral:rRNA from 1 species